AGGCCUUGACGGUCGUCGCAACCCCGGGAAACCGGGGGGCCUUCGGGGACGGCGGCC
rnacentral:rRNA from 1 species